UGACACUGUCCCCAGCUCAGGGCAAAUCUUGAUUAGCUGAGUCCCCUUUCCUUAGGUGCGACUGUUCCAGUAUGGAUCAAGUUCUUCCAGUGACACAUGUGGACACAUCUCCUGGGGAGACUUCUGAGAAAGGUUUCCUCAUUCCCAGAAACAGACCCCUGGGGAGAGUCAUUUUCUUCUGCUGAUCAUGGUCAGGUCUGAGUCAAGCGGGCUGGAGCUCCAGCAACCUUCUUGUGAUGGGGAGGAAAGGAUGGAGACUGGGUCCUCCAUGACAUCCCCAAUUAUACCAACCACGGAGCUUCCCCACUUCAGGAAAUCUUGUUAAGUGACUUUGGGGGUGUUCGUAUUUAUGGCCAACCAGGAAAUCAAUGAAGAGAAAUCUCCAAAUGUCUUUAGACUAAGGACUUUUUAUGCCUUACACACUGUCUUCCAAAGAAGCCUUGCAAGUUCCUCUAGCUGAAAAUGCUUUGGCUGCUGCAACCGUUUCUCUCCUCUCAGGCCAUUGCUUUGUUUUCCUCACCUACCAACCAGGUUCCUCUGACAACUUUCUUGUAAGUUGCUCUGCUCCAAAACCAGCCCCCACAUUCAGGGGGCAGGGGUUGGGGGGGCAUCUGAGAGGCUGGACUCUUCACCCAGGUGACCUGAGGUAAUACCCCAGAUGGCCACUUGAUGGUGCCCAAGAAUCUUCUUCACUUUGCUCACAUGAUCCAGGGAUGGCUCAGUUCUUGCAAGCACAAGAUGCAUAGCUAUCAAAGAGACAAAACUUUCUCAUCUCUCCUCCCUGCGACUGUUUGAGGAUCUCCCUUGGGCUAUAGAGGCUGCCUUGCACACUAAGCUUGCCAGAAGUGCCCAGGAGUUAAUGUGCCUCUCCUCUGAGUCCGGGGCUACUGACCAGUGCGGGGGUCUGAGGAGGGACCCACUCCGAGGCAAGGAAUGUUCCUGGGUUUGUGUUUUGAUUUCCUACUCAGUUGAAGAUCUGCAACACCAAGUCAAAGUCUGUUACUCGAGGUCAACCGUGGUCCUCAUCGGAAGCUCCUGGGCAGCCUAAUGCUAAGUCACAGUGUCUCCGCCGGGGCCUCCUGUCUUCUCAUCACGGAGCCUUUCAUCAUCUGGCAUCCUCACAAGAAGAAGGGAGAGGACAGACCGUAAGAUGCCCAGACAGAGAGAGACCACAUUCACCUACCUUGUGUCACGGAGUACUGUGAUGAUUGUUCUGUUCUGAACGUGAAUCACUGCUGUCCGUCUCUUAGGGAGCCUGAUUGGUCCCCGAAGCUUUAUCACAGAGAGGAAGAAAGUCCUGUUUGUCCUUAUGAUUCAUGUUGGUGGUUUCUGGAUGAUGUUGUAUUGAUUCACGACGACUCCCUCGGCAUCUGGUGUGAGUUAAGUGGGGCUUUCUCUGGGUGACAGGAAAAUGCAAGAUCUGAAACAGGGCUAACGUGAGAAGGAGCCGGGUGGGAGCUCCGAGAGUUUGAGCAAUCCUCGGGGCUGGAGACGGUCCUGCUGGAUGCUGCACGGGCUGAGCAAAGUAAGCAGAGAGCGACAUGUGGCUUCAGUGUGGGGCGGCCCAUGACGGAAUGUCUGCUCCUCACUUUCGCGCCAAUGACUCCUCACAGGUCAGAGGGCUUCCCGUACUGUGUUGCUUUAUCCUGCUGCCAGUAUCCCGACUAGACCCACGGGGGAAGUAGAGGCAAACAAGCUGCCAUGGGUGUCCGAUCAGGGGCCCAGGUUUUCUCUGGUUGGUCCAUGACGCUUCCUGGAGAAUCCCGGAGCUUAUCUAGCAGUUCCGAAUGGGAGAUGAUCUGGCCACCUGUGGAGGCGUUUUUAGCUGUCGUGGCUGGAAGGGGACUCCUGGCCGCCAGUUUGCAGAGAGCUGGGAGGCCGCUCAACAUCCCACAGAGCACAGGACCGUCUCCACAACGAAGAAUUUUCCAGCCCCAGAUGUCAACAGAGCUAAGGUUAAGAAACUGCUCUAAUCCAAACCAACCCUUAAUCCCAAGUGACUUGAUGGUUUCAGGUCAUUAACUGACUUAAUGAAAAGGCCUCAAGUUAUGGUUAAAAAGAAAAAACAACAACCAAACAAACAGAUCUUUUGAAAAAUCAUGAAAUUACUGUUUAAAAACUAUACAGUUGACCCUUGAACAACAUGGCUUUGAACUGUGUGGGCCCCACUGAUACACAGAUUUUUUCCAUAAAUACAGUCCAGUCCUGUAUAUGUAUUUUCUUUUCCUUAUGAUUUUCU